UAUUUUUCUCUCUUCUAUUUUCAACAAUACAAUCUUUCAUACGAUAAUAUUACACGUAAAUCGAAAAAUUUUCCUUCUUUUUCAACCACUCAUUUUUCAAAAAAAUACUAUUCCACCCAUUAAUUUUUCCAUGUAAUGGCAGCCAAACAGGAGCUUAUUAUAUGGAUAUAUGAUUGAACAUGAGUAUGUAAAGGGGGGGAAAAUGAAGAGAGAGUUUGAAAAUAAAAAUUGUCAAGCAAGGGCUAAGUCUAGGACAUAAAAUGAAUUACCGUUAUUAAUUAAGGUUAAGAUUGAUAGCUGAAUAAUAUAAAAUUAGUAAAAUUAAAAGGAGAAUUUGAAAGGCUACAAUUUUGUCGCUUAUCAUUUUUUUCUGAUGCUGUGUAUUUUCAAGAAUUAUUUUUUUAUAUAUAACAACUGAAAUAACUAAUGAUUCUCGGACAAUUAGAAAUUGAUCUACAAAAAUAAUUCUAAAUUGAAUCUAAAAGCUUGUCCGAAAAGUGCUUGUGAAUGAUUU
rnacentral:sRNA from 1 species